rnacentral:rRNA from 1 species
ACGAACGCUGGCGGCAGGCCUCACACCUGCCAGUCGCGCGGACCCUUCGGGGUUAGCGGCGGACGGGUGAGUAACGCGUGGGAAUAUGCCCUUCUCUACGGAAUAGUCCUGGGAAACUGGGGGUAAUACCGUAUACGCCCUUUGGGGGAAAGAUUUAUCGGGGAAGGAUUAGCCCGCGUUGGAUUAGGUAGUUGGUGGGGUAAUGGCCUACCAAGCCGACGAUCCAUAGCUGGUUUGAGAGGAUGAUCAGCCACACUGGGACUGAGACACGGCCCAGACUCCUACGGGAGGCAGCAGUGGGGAAUCUUAGACAAUGGGGGCAACCCUGAUCUAGCCAUGCCGCGUGAGUGAUGAAGGCCUUAGGGUUGUAAAGCUCUUUCAGCUGGGAAGAUAAUGACGGUACCAGCAGAAGAAGCCCCGGCUAACUCCGUG